rnacentral:tRNA from 2 species
GGGGCAUUCGUCUAGCGGCCAAGGACACCGCCCUCUCAAGGCGGAGAUCAGGGGUUCGAAUCCCCUAUGCCCUACCA